rnacentral:tRNA from 1 species
GGAUGUGUGGCCGAGCGGUUGAUGGCGGCAGACUUUUAAUCUGACGGACGUAAGUCCCGCGCGGGUUCGAAUCCCGCCACAUCCU